rnacentral:tRNA from 1 species
UGGCUCAGAGGAUAAAGCGUCUGUCUGCAAUGCAGGAGACCCGGGUUCGAUCCCUGG